rnacentral:rRNA from 1 species
CACUCCUGCGGGAGGCAGCAGUGGGGAAUAUUGGACAAUGGGCGCAAGCCUGAUCCAGCCAUGCCGCGUGAGUGAUGAAGGCCCUAGGGUUGUAAAGCUCUUUCACCGGUGAAGAUAAUGACGGUAACCGGAGAAGAAGCCCCGGCUAACUUCGUGCCAGCAGCCGCGGUAAUACGAAGGGGGCUAGCGUUGUUCGGAUUUACUGGGCGUAAAGCGCACGUAGGCGGACUAUUAAGUCAGGGGUGAAAUCCCGGGGCUCAACCCCGGAACUGCCUUGAUACUGGUAGUCUUGAGUUCGAGAGAGGUGAGUGGAAUUCCGAGUGUAGAGGUGAAAUUCGUAGAUAUUCGGAGGAACACCAGUGGCGAAGGCGGCUCACUGGCUCGAUACUGACGCUGAGGUGCGAAAGCGUGGGGAGCAAACAGGAUUAGAAACCCUUGUAGUCCC